ensembl:lncRNA LINC00491 long intergenic non-protein coding RNA 491
AGUAAAAAGCCUCUUCCUCAAUCUCUAUGACCUGCCUUCUUUUUCCAGUGCUGCCUCUCACAGGUUAUCCAUCUAUAAUUGAGUUGCUAGUAAUAACCUUCAAUUAUUCAGUUAAUCACGUUUCCUCUAUGUAUGUGACUCAGUUUUCCAGGUGUAUUCCACAUUGUCUCUACUAGUGAACUAGGAUAAUCCAUUGUGUAUCUCAACCUCCUUCACUACCCUGUGAAAGUCACAUGUGAGAAGAAGCAUCACAGAUGAUUCCAUGGAGAACAUCCUGGAAGUUCUCCAAAUGAACUGGAAAUUCCCUGUCUCCCCUUAACCAGCACUGGAAGCAGAUGGGAAGAGAAUAGCUGUGACUGACUCACACUCUAACCCAGCAACCCUCAGCAUACAAGUGGGAGACCAUAAAGUUUUUCAAGACCCCAAAAGAGGCCAAAGGUCUGAUAAUUGCUGGGAGAAGGUCCACUAUCCAAGAAGAGAAGAGGAAAAGGAAUUAAAGUCUCCAAGCACUGGGGAUGCAAGAAGAGAGUUGCACAGGAGAGAAAGAAGAAGUUGUCCACGGGGUGACCCUGCAAUUGGAGGGAAAUGCAUGUGGAUAUGUGCAGGGAGUCUAGGAAGUGAAGCCUUAGUGAUCAUUUACAAGAAUGAGGGUUAGGUAAAAUAAGGGAUGCAAAGCCACCUGUAGUCUAUUCUAACCUCACUCCAUCACUCUAUACAAUCUGUGUUUUAUCAUCUGAAAUGUUAAGUAAAGACCUGUUUGGGUCUUCUUCAGAAUCCCAUACAUUUGAGUUCAUUAGUCAGAAAAAGGGAAAAUACCACCACCCCAUCCUGGAAUGGCAGUCAUGUACACUUUUAUAAUGAGAGAUUGGGCAGCAAAGGGGGCCCCUUGUGGACCUCACCCAGCCAGAGAAGGAGGCAGAAUGUUUCCUUUACUAUCUUUUCCUCUCCCCAGAGGAACACUACAUAUUGUUCCCUCCAUGGGCUUAAGAGAAGGUGCCAGGGUUACAGAUAGAUAUAUCGCUAGCUGUAGAGCACAGGGUGAAUUGGGAUGUCCAUGUACAAAGCUAGGGACAGGAGAAUCAGUUUAAAGACUUUAAAAAUAAUUAGGAAAAAAAGGAAGGCCUGACCCAAAGCUUAGGAGUGCAGGUAGAGAAGAGAUGGUGCCAUGAUAUACCAUGUCUCUGGGACUUUUCUGUAUUCCUCUUCCUCUGUAUACUGUAUUGCCCUCAUUCCCUAUUUAUUCAAAAUCUGUGCUACCUCCACUGCGAAGACUUCCACGAGAAAAUUCAGAUAUUUCUUCUUUUGUGGACACUUUCUACCUUACAAAUAAGUUAAUUUUAAUUCAAGGAAGAGUUUUUCCGGAACCCUGUUGGCCUGCUCACAGGAAUAAAGACAUGUGCAUUCAAGAGGAAAGCAGAAAAGUCUCUGGGUAGGCAGGACCCAGGUGGUCUGGAUGGCAGAAACUGUUCUGAAGGGCUGUUUGGAGAUAAGAAUAUAGUAAUAUACAAGUAUGUCCCAUAUGAUUUGUAAGAAUAUUAUUUUUUGGGGAAAAGCUGGAAGGAUUCCCCUUGAAAACUGGCCCAAGACAAGGAUGCCCUCUCUCACCACUCCUAUUCAACAUAGUAUUGGAAGUUCUUGCCAGGGCAAUCAGACAAGAGAAAGAAAUAAAGUGCAUCCAAAUAGGAAGAGAGGAAGUCCAAUUAUCCCUGUUUGCAGGCAACAUCAUUCUAUGUCUAGAAAACCCCAUAGUUGUGGCCCAAAAGCUCCUUAAGCUGAUAAACAACUUCAGCAAAGUUUCAGGAUAUAAAACCAAUGAAUGAAAAUCACUAGUAUUCCUGUACAUCAACAACAGCCAAGCUGAGAGCCAAAUCAGGAACGCAAUUUCAUUCACAAUUGCUACAAAAAAGAAUAAAA